AUUGAACGCUGGCGGCAUGCCUUACACAUGCAAGUCGAACGGCAGCACGGGGGCAACCCUGGUGGCGAGUGGCGAACGGGUGAGUACUGCAUCGGAAUGUACCCAGUAGUGGGGGAUAACUAGUCGAAAGACUAGCUAAUACCGCAUACGCACUGAGGUGGAAAGCGGGGGAUCGCAAGACCUCGCGCUAUUGGAGCAGCCGAUGCCCGAUUAGGUAGUUGGUGGGGUAAAAGCCUACCAAGCCGACGAUCGGUAACUGGUCUGAGAGGACGACCAGUCACACUGGGACUGAGACACGGCCCAGACUCCUACGGGAGGCAGCAGUGGGGAAUUUUGGACAAUGGGGGAAACCCUGAUCCAGCAAUGCCGCGUGUGUGAAGAAGGCCUUCGGGUUGUAAAGCACUUUUGGCGGGAACGAAACGGCGCUGGUUAAUACCUGGCGCUAAUGACGGUACCCGCAGAAUAAGCACCGGCUAACUACGUG
rnacentral:rRNA from 1 species